GUGGGUAGAUAUAUUAUGUUCACAUGUUAAACAAAAUAUUUUUUCAGACCUUCAGGAGGUGGAAAAUACUGCCUUGGGGAAAGAAAACGCUAUCGCUCCUGUAAUACAGAUCCAUGCCCUUUGGGUUCCCGAGAUUUUCGAGAGAAACAAUGUGCAGAUUUUGACAAUAUGCCUUUCCGAGGAAAGUAUUAUAACUGGAAACCCUAUACUGGAGGUGGAGUAAAACCUUGUGCAUUAAACUGUUUGGCUGAAGGUUACAAUUUCUACACCGAACGUGCCCCUGCGGUGAUCGAUGGGACUCAGUGCAAUGCAGAUUCACUGGAUAUCUGUAUCAAUGGAGAAUGCAAGGUUGCACACAUUGCAGUACUGUUUUGUUGGGAUUUUCUGAGACCUUUGUCUUUUUCUCAAAUAGUAUUUAAUCUAUGCUUAGCUUUUUAA
rnacentral:lncRNA from 1 species